UACAUGUGGGGCAAGCGUUGUUCGGAAUUACUGGGCGUAAAGGGCUCGUAGGCGGCCAACUAAGUCAGACGUGAAAUCCCUCGGCUUAACCGGGGAACUGCGUCUGAUGCUGGAUGGCUUGAGGUUGGGAGAGGGAUGCGGAAUUCCAGGUGUAGCGGUGAAAUGCGUAGAUAUCUGGAGGAACACCGGUGGCGAAGGCGGCAUCCUGGACCAAUUCUGACGCUGAGGAGCGAAAGCCAGGGGAGCAAACGGG
rnacentral:rRNA from 1 species